rnacentral:lncRNA from 12 species
GUUAUUUAAAGCUUUUGUUUUUAAAAUCUUGAACAGAAUUCACACUAAGGUUAAUCCCAAUGGAUUAAUGGAGCUGUUUCCUAAUGGAUGAGCUUUUCAUAUUAGUUGGAUGAAUGCCAUAGACUCUUUUUUUCUUGGUUUGAUACUAUUUUGAAAUAUCAACAUUUCUUUUUGUCUCAGAAAUGUUCUGAGAAUGGACCCCGUUCUGAGGAUGGAUUCCCAUUUGGAAGAAGAGAGGAGAGAGUGUUCUGCGCUCACUGCACUGAAAGUACGUUUGGUUCACAGAAAUACAGAGAAAAAUAGAAGUUCAGUGGAAAACAAAAAAGAGACUUCAUGAAUCUUGAUUCUGACAGAAAGCCUCUUCACAUUAUCUUCACUUUUCAGAAGUGAGAAAAUAUGUAUUGGAAGACAAUGCUCUGUGAAUAUUUUUACAUUGAUCAUGAUUUGCUGAACAAGGAUUGCUAAUGACCAAGGUUAAAAGUAUGCUUGAAUGGCAAACAUGCAUUGCACAUUAGAAAUUGCCUAUUUCUAAAAAAAUAAUAAAAAAAUAAAAUAAAAGAAAAGAAAUUGCCUA